rnacentral:lncRNA from 1 species
GGCCGGAGGGACCCCCCCCAACCUCCGCCCUAUAGAUCCCAAAAGCGGGGGGGGGGGAAUGGGAUGUGGGGUGGGACCCCAUUGGGAUCCCAUAGGGGGAGUGGGGGCGAAAUGUGUGGGGCAAUGGGGUGUGGGGUGGGACCCCAUUGGGGGACCCCAUAAGGUUUGGGGUUCACCAUAUUGGGGGCUCAAUGUGUGGGGCAGUGGGAUGUGGGGUGGGACCCCAUUGGGAUCCCAUGGGAGGGGAAUGGGGGAUCAAUGUGUGGGGCAAUGGAGUGUGGGGUGGGACCCCAAUGGGAUCCCAUUGGGGGAAUGGGGGCCCAAUGUGUGGGGCAAUGGGGUGUGGGGUGGGACCCCAUUGGGGGACCCUAUAAAGGGUGGGGUUCUCCAUAUUGGGGUCCCAUGGGGAGGGGAAUGGGGGCUCAAUGUGUGGGGCAGUGGGGUGUGGGGUGGGACCCCAUUGGGGGACCCCAUAAGGUUUGGGGUUCUCCAUAUGGAGGUCCCAUUGGGAGGGGAAUGGGGUCCCAAUGUGUGGGGUAAUGGGAUAUGGGGUGGGGUGGGACCCCAUUGGGAUCCCAUAGGGGGAGUGGGGGCUCAAUGUGUGGGGCAAUGGGGUGUGGGGUGGGACCCCAUUGGGGGACCCCAUAAGGUUUGGGGAUCACCAUAUUGGGGGCUCAAUGUGUGGGGCAGUGGGGUGUGGGGUGGGACCCCAUUGGGAUCCCAUUGGGGGAAUGGGGGCCCAAUGUGUGGGGCAGUGGGGUGUGGGGUGGGACCCCAUUGGGGGACCCCAUAAGGUUUGGAGUUCUCCAUCAGUGGGGUCCCAGCAGAGGAAUGGGGACCCCAAACUGUGGGGCAAUGGGAUGUGGGGUGGGACCCCAUUGGGAUCCCAUUGGUGGGGGAAUGGGGGCUCAAUGUGUGGGGCAAUGGGGUGUGGGGUGGGACCCCAUUGGGGGACCCCAUAAACUUUGGGGUUCACCAUAUUGGGGGCUCAAUGUGUGGGGUAAUGGGAUGUGGGGUGGGGUGGGACCCCAUUGGGAUCCCAUGGGAGGGGAAUGGGGGCUCAAUGUGUGGGGCAAUGGAGUGUGGGGUGGGACCCCAUUGGGGGACCCCAUAAGGUUUGGGGUUCUCCAUAUGGAGGUCCCAUUGGGAGGGGAAUGGGGUCCCAAUGUGUGGGGUAAUGGGAUAUGGGGUGGGGUGGGACCCCAUUGGGAUCCCAUAGGGGGAGUGGGGGCGAAAUGUGUGGGGCAAUGGGGUGUGGGGUGGGACCCCAUUGGGGGACCCCAUAAGGUUUGGGGUUCUCCAUAUGGAGGUCCCAUUGGGAGGGGAAUGGGGACCCCAAUGUGUGGGGAAAUGGGGUGUGGGGUGGGACCCCACUGGGGGACCCCAUAAACUUUGGGUCCUCUAUUAGUGGGAUUUUGGGGUCCCCCAUUAUAGGGCUAUGGGGUGACCCCA